AGUGAACGCUGGCGGUAGGCCUAACACAUGCAAGUCGAACGGCAGCACAGUAAGAGCUUGCUCUUACGGGUGGCGAGUGGCGGACGGGUGAGGAAUACAUCGGAAUCUACUUUUUCGUGGGGGAUAACGUAGGGAAACUUACGCUAAUACCGCAUACGACCUACGGGUGAAUGCAGGGGAUCUUCGGACCUUGCGCGAUUGAAUGAGCCGAUGUCGGAUUAGCUAGUUGGCGGGGUAAAGGCCCACCAAGGCGACGAUCCGUAGCUGGUCUGAGAGGAUAAUCAGCCAAACUGAAACUGAGACACGGUCCAGACUCCUACGGGGGGCAGCAGUGGGGAAUAUUGGACAAUGGGCGCAAGCCUGAUCCAGCCAUACCGCGUGGGUGAAGAAGGCCUUCGAGUUGUAAAGCCCUUUUGUUGGGAAAGAAAAGCAGCAGGUUAAUACCCCACUGUUCUGACGGUACCCAAAGAAUAAGCACCGGCUAACUUCGU
rnacentral:rRNA from 1 species